CNCACCUUUAAUCUGGGCUACGCCUUUCACC
rnacentral:piRNA from 1 species